GAUGAACGCUAGCUACAGGCUUAACACAUGCAAGUCGAGGGGUAACGAGAGGAAAGCUUGCUUUCCUUGUCGACGACCGGCGCACGGGUGAGUAACGCGUAUCCAACCUGCCCCCAACUAAGGAAUAACCUUGCGAAAGUGAGACUAAUACCUUAUAAUUUCCUCAGAUGUCAUCUGACGAGGAAUAAAGAUUUAUCGGUUGUGGAUGGGGAUGCGUCUGAUUAGCUUGUUGGCGGGGUAACGGCCCACCAAGGCAACGAUCAGUAGGGGUUCUGAGUGGAAGGUCCCCCACAUUGGAACUGAGACACGGUCCAAACUCCUACGGGAGGCAGCAGUGAGGAAUAUUGGUCAAUGGGCGGAAGCCUGAACCAGCCAAGUAGCGUGCAGGAUGACGGCCCUAUGGGUUGUAAACUGCUUUUAUACAGGAAUAAAGUUAGCCACGUGUGGUUAUUUGUAGGUACUGUAUGAAUAAGGACCGGCUAAUUCCGUGCCAGCCGCCGCAGUAA
rnacentral:rRNA from 1 species